rnacentral:rRNA from 1 species
UACGAAGGGGGCUAGCGUUGUUCGGAUUUACUGGGCGUAAAGCGCACGUAGGCGGAUCGUUAAGUCGGGGGUGAAAUCCUGGAGCUCAACUCCAGCACUGCCUUCGAUACUGGCGAUCUUGAGUCCGGAAGAGGUGAGUGGAACUCCUAGUGUAGAGGUGGAAUUCGUAGAUAUUAGGAAGAACACCAGUGGCGAAGGCGGCUCACUGGUCCGGUACUGACGCUGAGGUGCGAAAGCGUGGGGAACAAACAGG